rnacentral:rRNA from 1 species
AGUGAACGCUGGCGGCAGGCCUAAUACAUGCAAGUCGAACGGCAGCACAGCAGAGCUUGCUCUGUGGGUGGCGAGUGGCGGACGGGUGAGGAAUACAUGGGAAUCUGCCCAGUCGUGGGGGAUAACGUAGGGAAACUUACGCUAAUACCGCAUGCGCCCUUCGGGGGAAAGCCGGGGACCUUCGGGCCUGGCGCGAUUGGAUGAGCCCAUGUCGGAUUAGCUAGUUGGCGGGGUAAUGGCCCACCAAGGCGAUGAUGGUUAGCUGGUCUGAGAGGAUGGCCAGCCACACUGGAACUGAGACACGGUCCAGACUCCUACGGGAGGCAGCAGUGAGGAAUCUUGCGCAAUGGGGGAAACCCUGACGCAGCAACGCCGCGUGAGUGAGGAAGGCCCUCGGGUCGUAAAGCUCUGUCAGGUGGAAGAAAUCGAUGAAGGUGAACAACCUCCAUCCUUGACGGUACCACCAGAGGAAGCACCGGCUAACUCCGU